CAGAGUCUCCCUUUGUCACCCAGGCUGGAGUGCCGUGGCAUGAUCUCUGUUCACUGCUACCUCUGCCUUCCAGGUUCAAGCAAUUCUCGUGCCUCAGCUUCAGCUGGGAUUACAGGUGUUGAAAAUGAUGGCUUUAUAUACCUGAUUGCCUUGUUGAUCUUGCAUCACAGAGAUGAAGUCUUGUCCAGGCUAAAAUGCAGCAGCUAUUCACAGGCACAAUCAUGGCGCACUACAGCAUUGAACUCCUGGCCUCAAGCUACCCGCCUGUCUUAGCCUCCAGAGUAGCUGGGACUACAGGUGUGUGACACCACCCCUGGCCCACGCAUAUCGUUUUUGCUUGUUGUUUGCUCUGUUUGUUUUGUAUAUGCUAGUUUUCAAUUCACUUGGGUAAAUACCCACAAGUGGGAUU
rnacentral:lncRNA from 1 species